rnacentral:rRNA from 1 species
UACGGAAGGCAGCAGUGGGGAAUAUUGCACAAUGGGCGCAAGCCUGAUGCAGCCAUGCCGCGUGUAUGAAGAAGGCCUUCGGGUUGUAAAGUACUUUCAGUCGUGAGGAAGGUGUUAAGGUUAAUAACCUUAGCAAUUGACGUUAGCGACAGAAGAAGCACCGGCUAACUCCGUGCCAGCAGCCGCGGUAAUACGGAGGGUGCGAGCGUUAAUCGGAAUUACUGGGCGUAAAGGGCACGCAGGCGGUUAAUUAAGUUGGAUGUGAAAUCCCCGGGCUUAACCUGGGAAUGGCAUUCAAGACUGGUUAGCUAGAGUCUUGUAGAGGGGGUAGAAUUCCAUGUGUAGCGGUGAAAUGCGUAGAGAUGUGGAGGAAUACCGGGUGGCGAAGGCGGGCCCCUGGGACAAAGGACUGACGCUCAUGUGCGAAAGCGUGGGGAGCAAGCAGGAUUAGAUACC